GAGAGAUUUUCAGCCUGAAAGCCAUCGUCUUCAACUACCUCAAGGACUGUAUCCAAGUGCACACCACCCUCAUAGAGACUCCAGAACUAAAGGUGGAUGCCUGUCCAGGCUGCCAGUUCACCAGCUGCCUCUGUGCCAACGAAGCAAAAAUCUUUGCGUGGAAUGUGACAGCCACUAGACUGGGCAAAGUGAAUGUCACUGUGAGCAGUGUGGCAGAAGAUUCGCAUAAUCUGUGUGAUAACAGGGUUGCUGUGUCACCGCUGCAAGGAAAGACAGACACAGUGAUAAAAC